UACGUAGGGCGCAAGCGUUAUCCGGAAUUAUUGGGCGUAAAGAGCUCGUAGGCGGUUUGUCGCGUCUGCCGUGAAAGUCCGGGGCUCAACUCCGGAUCUGCGGUGGGUACGGGCAGACUAGAGUGAUGUAGGGGAGACUGGAAUUCCUGGUGUAGCGGUGAAAUGCGCAGAUACCAGGAGGAACACCGGUGGCGAAGGCGGGUCUCUGGGCCGUAACUGACGCUGAGGAGCGAAAGCAUGGGGAGCGAACAGG
rnacentral:rRNA from 1 species